AAAUUGAAGAGUUUGAUCAUGGCUCAGAUUGAACGCUGGCGGCAGGCCUAACACAUGCAAGUCGAGCGGAAACGAGUUAUCUGAACCUUCGGGGAACGAUAACGGCGUCGAGCGGCGGACGGGUGAGUAAUGCCUAGGAAAUUGCCCUGAUGUGGGGGAUAACCAUUGGAAACGAUGGCUAAUACCGCAUAAUGCCUACGGGCCAAAGAGGGGGACCUUCGGGCCUCUCGCGUCAGGAUAUGCCUAGGUGGGAUUAGCUAGUUGGUGAGGUAAGGGCUCACCAAGGCGACGAUCCCUAGCUGGUCUGAGAGGAUGAUCAGCCACACUGGAACUGAGACACGGUCCAGACUCCUACGGGAGGCAGCAGUGGGGAAUAUUGCACAAUGGGCGCAAGCCUGAUGCAGCCAUGCCGCGUGUGUGAAGAAGGCCUUCGGGUUGUAAAGCACUUUCAGUCGUGAGGAAGGUAGUGUAGUUAAUAGCUGCAUUAUUUGACGUUAGCGACAGAAGAAGCACCGGCUAACUCCGUGCCAGCAGCCGCGGUAAUACGGAGGGUGCGAGCGUUAAUCGGAAUUACUGGGCGUAAAGCGCAUGCAGGUGGUUUGUUAAGUCAGAU
rnacentral:rRNA from 1 species